GACGAACGCUGGCGGCGUGCCUAAUACAUGCAAGUCGAGCGCUGAAGGUGGGUACUUGUACCGACUGGAUGAGCAGCGGACGGGUGAGUAACGCGUGGGGAAUCUGCCUUUGAGCGGGGGACAACAUUGGGAAACGAAUUCUAAUACCGCAUAAAAACUUUAAACACAAGAUUUAAGUUUGAAAGAUGCAAUUGCAUCACUCAAAGGUGAUCCCGCGUUUUAUUAGCUAGUGGGGGAGGUAAAGGCUCACCAAGGCGAUGAUACAUAGCCGAGCUGGGAGGGUGAUCGGCCCAAUUGGGACUGGGAACCGGCCCAAACCCCUAACGGGAGGCGCCGUAGGGGAACUUUGGCCAUGGGCGGAAGUCUGACCGCGCCAAGCCCCGGGGGGGGAGAAAGGCUUUCGGUUGUUAAAGCCCGUUUGUAGAGAAAAAAGUUCGUGAGAGUGAAAAGCUCAUGUAGUGACGGUACCUAAACAGAAAGCGACGGCUAACUACGUG
rnacentral:rRNA from 1 species